rnacentral:rRNA from 1 species
UAGGGAAUCUUCGGCAAUGGGGGGAACCCUGACCGAGCAACGCCGCGUGAGUGAAGAAGGUUUUCGGAUCGUAAAGCUCUGUUGUUAAGGAAGAACGAGUGUGAGAAUGGAAAGUUCAUGCUGUGACGGUACUUAACCAGAAAGGGACGGCUAACUACGUGCCAGCAGCCGCGGUAAUACGUAGGUCCCGAGCGUUGUCCGGAUUUAUUGGGCGUAAAGCGAGCGCAGGCGGUUAGAUAAGUCUGAAGUGAAAGGCAGUGGCUCAACCAUUGUAGGCUUUGGAAACUGUUUAACUUGGGUGCAGAAGGGGAGAGUGGAAUUCCAUGUGUAGCGGUGAAAUGCGUAGAUAUAUGGAGGAACACCGGUGGCGAAAGCGGCUCUCUGGUCUGUAACUGACGCUGAGGCUCGAAAGCGUGGGGAGCGAACAGG